rnacentral:piRNA from 3 species
CUACUUGGAUAACUGUGGUAAUU